AGGUUUCAAGUGAGAGUGAGUCUACUGUUGGGCUUCCAGGACAUUUACUUCUUCCCAAGAGAAAGACCUAGACCCCUUCUUCCUCUAGAGACUGAAGCAUCAAGAUACGAUGGCUGAAUAUGGAUGGACCUAGAGACUGUCAUGCUGAGUGAAGUGGCAUGAAAUUCUUCUGGAAGGAAUCACAGUCUGGAAAAGGGAACCCAGGUCCCUUGCCCCAGUGGUUUGGCUGCUUGGAAAAAUAUUCCACCUACUUGACAUACUAUUUUUGAAAUCUGGAGCAUCAGAUUUGACUGAGCCAAGAACAGGCCAGAGCUUGGAGCCCUUGGAAGCUGAGUAAUGCCCUGACCAGUGGAGUGCGGAACCUUUUAAAACCGAAGUAUAGUUGCUGUACGAUAUUUUAUAAGUUACAGGUGUACAACAUAGUGAUUUACAAUUUGUAAAGAUUCUUCUCCAUUUACACUCACUAUAAAAUAUUGGCUAUAUUCCCUGUUCUAC
rnacentral:lncRNA from 1 species